rnacentral:rRNA from 1 species
UACCGAGUGCGGGCCCUCGUGGCCCAACCUCCCACCCUUGUCUCUAUACACCUGUUGCUUUGGCGGGCCCACCGGGGCCACCUGGUCGCCGGGGGACAUCUGUCCCCGGGCCCGCGCCCGCCGAAGCGCUCUGUGAACCCUGAUGAAGAUGGGCUGUCUGAGUACUAUGAAAAUUGUCAAAACUUUCAACAAUGGAUCUCUUGGUUCCGGCAUCGAUGAAGAACGCAGCGAAAUGCGAUAAGUAAUGUGAAUUGCAGAAUUCCGUGAAUCAUCGAAUCUUUGAACGCACAUUGCGCCCCCUGGCAUUCCGGGGGGCAUGCCUGUCCGAGCGUCAUUUCUGCCCUCAAGCACGGCUUGUGUGUUGGGUGCGGUCCCCCCGGGGACCUGCCCGAAAGGCAGCGGCGACGUCCGUCUGGUCCUCGAGCGUAUGGGGCUUUGUCACUCGCUCGGGAAGGACUGGCGGGGGUUGGUCACCACCAAAAUUUUACCACGGUUGACCUCGGAUCAGGUAGGAGUACCCG